rnacentral:lncRNA from 1 species
UAGAAAGCUAUCAUCACGUCUUUUCUCCAUAAAUCCUUAUAGAUACCAAAAGUAAUUCACAAAAAGUUUCAUCUCAUUCCGAGAACUUUUAUUUCUGCGCAAAAAUAACAUCAAGUUAGUUCUGCUGGAAACAGCGUCAGUCCGGGUUAGUUCCAUUCAAAUCAUCCAAAUUAGAGGCCAAAAUGAGAGGAGAAGUGUUUGGAAUAGUAGAUACGUUGGAGACGUACCAACUCCCCUAAGCUUAACUCGCUGCUUGUUGUCAAGAAAUUCAGUUGAUAAAAUGAAAGUGAUAAAGAAAACAUUUACAAACUCUUUUGUUCUCGUUAUUAUACACAAGCUUAGCUAGUGUUCAAUUUUUCAGCAUAAAUCAUAAAUAAACACAUCCAUGAUAAUAAUUUAAGAAUCAUAUCCAAACAUGGCAAUACAUAACCAACUGGUAAGCAAUAAUAAGACGUCUCACAUGCGAACCAUUUGUCAUAACAAUCACAAUAUAAUAUGGUGGCAUGGUAUCUCGCAAGCCCUUUGUGAGACUGCAAAACAUAAAUGCAAAGCACCUCCAAUCUCGGGCCUCGGCCUCCGCAACAGCUAACUCAUUACAGUAUGCAAUUAUGUCCUGUGGCAUGAUGGUGUAUCCAUUUCUCGCACGGAAAUUAAACAAGGACGAUGCAGGCAACACAAUAAUAUCACGAGUAACCUCACUGAAUACUAAGUUCUAAUGAAUGCCUUGCAGUAUAUCAGUUGCAUGGGUGAAAUGAUAAUCUAUCAUAGAUUGGUGGUCAAGAUAAACCUGGGGCAAUAAAUAAUUAGUGGGGCAUAUAGCCCCUUCAAUGCUCUUAGCUAGGCGUGUGGCCUAAACACCACCAUGUAUCAUGCCUCUAGUUUGGUUAAGGUGCAAGCGGCGCGAAACAAUAGCUCCUUAGGUGUAAGUGUUACCAAAAUAAAGUGCACGGUGCAAAAUAGAAAGGGUCGGGGCACUAAGACCGGCACCCUGCUCCAUAGGAAUUAUGCAUUUUCCUAUAAACACAGAAAAAUAAUGCAUAGAAGGAAAAUGCAGACUAGUGGCUCUGGCAUUCGAUACUCCCCUAGUUUCUCCCACAAUUAAGGUGAGGAGAAAAUUAUCGAAUUCCUCACGCUUAGGAUCAUGCACUUCCCCAUCAAAGGGAAGCAAGCAUACUUCACAAAAUCGGUCUAGAGGCAAAUCAUAAUUGUUACAUGCAGAUUAAAACGUAUGGUGCGAGCAUCAGGAGUGUUUAUGAAAUAAAAGUUCUGAACGAAAGAAUUUGUGAGGAGGUAGUAUUGGUUACACUCAUCUGCAAGGAAGUUGGUCAGUCCGGCAUUCGCGAUAAACUGCAUGAAUUCUUCAAUAAAACCAGCUUCACUCAUGAAGGGCGUAUGUGGCCAUUCACACAGCCUAACCUCCGUGUUGUGAGAUAUGUUGAGGUCUCUAUCUAGAGUUCUUACUGCAACUCCUUUAGGACUCCGACUUGAAGAACCCUUCCUUGAGGAACAUCUCCUUAUGAAUUCAUUUUGCUGCACACAAUUUCUGAAAUUUUUGGGCCACAAAAAUUAUGUCAACUAGUCGUCAACCCGUGCACAGGCAUGGCAGCACGGGCUAGCCCUUCUACGUUACACUUAAGGACAGUAAAGCUUAUAUUAUAAUAAUUAAAUAUUACAUUUGAAGAGUUAUUGUGAAUAUAAAUACACCAUGAAAAUUUAGGAUUAUAAAUAUAAAAUAAUUAUUUUUUGGAGAUGUAUAUCAUCACCAAAUGUUGGUAGAUAAGAGAAGAGGCCGGAAAAAAAUCAUUAUAUGUAAUGUGCCACUUUAAAGCUGAUAGUGUCACUACUCAGAAGGUAAUCGUGCAGAGAUUACAUACAACAUAUGUACUUGUCAAGUUUCUCUGAUUGAAAAAUGAGGAUGCAUGCACUUAGCCUAUUUCCUUGGAAAAUGAUGUACUAUGCUUCCAUUUGAUUUUGAAGUAAAGCCAACAGAUUAAUAACUUAUAUUUUUUUAUUCUAGGUUAAAACUAACAAGACAUCACCUGCCAAAAACCUAACAAUUCAUCAACUUAGUUAUGAUGCUAUCCUAACUAUUAAGAGAAAUACCUAGAGAAUAUACAAACAAUGUGUGUGUGCUGAAAUGAGAAACUUACACACUAACAAAGGUACGGUCUCCAAUGCUUUGGUGGAUGAUGCUAACCUUGCAUGUUCAGACCUGCUACAAUCAAAUUUGCUCAAAUUAUUCUAUGAUGUAUUAAUAAGGACUAUUAAUAACACAACGCUUUGUAAUUUGUACUUGCUGAGAUAUAUAAAACUUCAAUUCGGAUAUUCGUUACAAUAUCUCAAUUGCAUGUUCUUGAGCAAGGAUUAAACAAAUCCAUACAAUCUCACCUCUCACUAUCUUUCUUUCCAUGUAAAUUGUUGUGAUACAAAAACAGUUUUGAAACAAAAAGUUUGGUCCCUACAAAUUUUGUAGCUCACAAAUCUAUAAUGUGGCGAGUAAGUCAAUAGAAAUAGUUACCUUAGCGAAAGCAUCAUAGUAGGCAAGGGUGUUGCUUUCUCAUACAACAAAUCGACACCUCGUCUUCAUAGGAGCUGUGAUUUUUUUUACUUUGAUCUCUUUCCCCGCUUUUCAAAUCAACUUAUGUUUGAACCCAUCUCCACAGGAGAUGUAAAGGCACACAAUUUGUUGAUGACACCCAAAUCAACAUAAACUUUGUUUACCUAUAUAUGACGGCGACUACUAUGUAUGCACUUGAUACUAACUUUCCGAUAAAAAAGAUAUACACAUAUAUCAACACUUACAUCCUUUUAACGUGAAAUACACAAAUAUCAAAUAUUGGACAGUUGUUGAUUUUACUAUGACAACCGACAGAGAAAAUCCAUAUCAAUUUUAUUGACCUUCUCACCCCGUAGUGCGAAAUUAGAUUAUCUAUUCUUGUAUACUCCAAGAGUUCUAACUAUUAUGUAGCGACCCGACUCAAAACGAGUCAAGCCUCUGUGUAUCUGUGCCAUCCCUGGAUCAGUAUGCUGGCACACACAGUACAUCAAUGUAUAUAUCAAAGUGCAAUCACAUGUAAAUAGCGUAAAACUGAUAUAUAUAUAUAUACCUUAAAUAUCUCAGCAGAAGCAGUCAAGGGAGUGGAGUCCCAAUAAACACCAACGGCAAGUUGAGUGUAGACCGUAACCCUGAAUUGUACUCUUACUCGUCGAAGAAAA